rnacentral:rRNA from 1 species
UACGUAGGUGGCAAGCGUUGUCCGGAUUUACUGGGCGUAAAGGGCGCGCAGGCGGUUGAUUAAGUCGAAUGUGAAAGCCCCCGGCUCAACUGGGGAGGGUCAUUCGAUACUGAUCAACUUGAAGGCAGGAGAGGGUAGUGGAAUUCCCGGUGUAGUGGUGAAAUGCGUAGAUAUCGGGAGGAACACCAGUGGCGAAGGCGACUACCUGGCCUGUUCUUGACGCUGAGGCGCGAAAGCUGGGGGAGCAAACGGG